ensembl:lncRNA
UCUCAUAAAUUCCAGGGAUGGAGUGGAAGAGAAAGAUCUGCACCUGGGUCAGAGCACAGCAAACCAGCGAACCCUCAGAAGUGACCAUUUAUACAAGAGUUCAGGAGUCUGCGCGCCGUCUUUCUCGUGUGGGUUUGAAGCCUUGGGCCGCGGUGAAGGGGUUAUUUGAGCAGAUGCUGUGCAUUCUUGGGUUUGUUCGAGCGGAUCCCUCCUCAUGAGCAGAGGCUUGACUUUCCCAAAGCUGAUAUUGAUAUCACAGACCAUUGUGAUGGAGCUAUUUUCAUGGAAGCCCAGGAGGAAGUCACGUGACUCUAAUUAGUCCCCGGGGGCCGCAGCGUCUCCAUUACGUGCCUUGUUUUAACUCACAUAACCAUCAAUGAAGUGGAAAGGCUGAGGAAGCAGCAAUCACUGCUCCUGGGCGGCUCGUUUUAUUUCAGUGUUUUCUCGAGCACCUAUUUUGUUAAUGGGCCCAAAAUCCGAGAAAGAAAAGUGUCUUCCCUCCUUUUCCCCCCAUUACAUUUCUUAGCUUUAAAAAUGAGCGAGCGCACAUGUGAGCGUUUACACCGAUCCACUAGCGGGAAGAUUGAUGAUUCUGGGAUUUGUUGGUUCACACCCUGUUCAGCACAUGGGAUAAAAUCAGGAAUGACGGAUGCACUCGCACGGAUAAAAACAUUAGUGUUGUUCCUAUUCAACAGCACCUUAUGAACUCUAAUUUAAGAAACGUGUAUGCUUGUGUUGUAAUGAAGUAUUUCUAUAAAAGAGUUGGAAAAAAACUACAGUAAGGUUCCAGUACAGUUAACAUAAACUAACUAUGAAAAAUACUUCUGAAGCAUUUAUCAAUCUUAAUAAAUGUUAAUGUUAGUAACA